GAGGGUGGGGGAGGAGGGGCGCCCCCGGCCAGGCUCAGCGCUCGGCUCCUGGGGCCCCAGGGAUACCCGGCAGUAGCGCGCCUGGCCCCCGGCUCAGUGCCAGCGGGUGUGUCCAUCGUCGGUCCACUGCCCCCGCCCCCUGCGAUGACUCCCGGCUCGCCCGGCUCCGUGGCCGCGCCCGGCAGACUCAUGGCGCGUGGCUGGGCUGCUGGGCCAUGGCCUCAGGCUUCCGAGAGCCCGGGGGUUGAAAGAUCCGGAAUGAAGAGAGCUUCCCUUCUGCUCUCAACACCUGAGGAAACUGGUUGAAAGUUUGAGAAAGAGAAGUCUAAUCAUCUUUCCGCUUCCGCUCUCCCUAUGACACUCCGGCCACGAGAAGGAGCAGGAAAGGGCCCCAUCUCCGAAGGACCACCGCAAGCCACGCCAGUCCUGUCUCCUUGCAUCUGCCUGACUGCUGAGCAUCUGAGAACUUCCCUCUUUUUACAGACCUCCCUGGGUUGUUCAGACCACACAGGCCUGGCUGCCUACUCUGACCCUCCAGAUGCAGCGCCAGGGAGCCAGCCUUCCCAAGGUCCACACUGAAUCUUCCCCUCCCCUCUGCAUGCUGUCUACGUAGACCCUAACUGGAACCCUAAGAGGAAACUUUGGCUGGAGACCUGUGGCUAUCCGGUGUGGGCUUUUUCAUCUCACCAGAGUGAUUCUUUUCGGUCCAGUCUUCCUUGGCUUGCUAACUCUGCAGGUCUGUCUCUUAUUUCCAGUCGCCCCCAACCUCCCCCACGCCUGUUUUGAGAUUCAGAGGAAAAGUCUGUGACUCCCCUCCAUCGUCCAGGCCAGUCUGAAGAUUAUGAAUUUCUGAAGCUGCACCAUGCACUGUCUGUACAAAGGAGCCCAGGAGGAAGAAUUCCUGAGUCCACAGCCAGUGGAAAGAUGAAUAUCAACAACAUUGUGCAGAGGCUCUUGAAGCAAGGUUGACAAAGAUGGACACAGGUACCAUAGAAGUUCAGUGUUGAAGACUGACAGAUCAUCAAACUUGAAGAAACCUUUAGAGAUGACUGCCCACAGAUCUAGGACAUUCAACUGGGUACUUUAUGAGACUGUCAAAUAAAUUCUGUUACUGUGCUACCAUGCACAUUGGGAUGAGUUUUUAACAUCUCUUCCCUUAACACAGCACUUGUCUCAGACUCUGAGAUUUGUAGGAAUAGAUAGAUAGAUAGAUAGAUAGAUAGAUAGAUAGAUAGAUAGAUAGAUAGAUAGAUAGUCAGGUACCUCGGAGAGUUUGAGGCAGACCCAAGCCCUUGCAGGUUUACAGCAGAUCAAUUAACACAACACUAUUGACCUUGCAGGAUGGGGAGGAGAGAUAUUUUUGCCUCCUUAUCUUUACCAAAGAGAACGAUCUGACUGAAAAAGAAAAGAGAACUUUGGUCAGGGAAAAUUGAAGUUUGAGAUGAGCAGAGAUAUUCAACAGCACCAAGCUGCUGUAAUUGAGCUCAAGCCUCUUGGGCAGGACAAAUUACACUCCAGGGAGUAGAGAGAACUCACCGCUGAAGAUGAACUGGAGAGACUGAAAGAAACUGGGAUGCAGGUGGCAACAAAGCCCUGCUUUUUAAAGAUUGGGAAAGAGCUUGCAACUAUAAAAGCAAGUUUCUCCUCUCCAUCCUCAUUAAAUUCCCUGAUCAGAUCAUUGAGGAUGAUUCAUGAGCAAAUGAAAAAAAAAAUUGGAGCAGAACUCUCUAGAAGCCAAAAGCAAAACCCCAACAAAGUAGUUGUAUUCCCAGUUAUGUGGUAGGCUCAUGUACUAGUUAGUCUUUUUGUUAGUAUGACACAAGCUAGGGACAUCUGGGAAGAGGGAACCUCAGCUGAGAAAAUCUCAUUGUGGGUAGGUCGUGAUUAAUGACUGAUGUGGGAGGUUUCAGAAAACUAUAGGCAACGACACCCCUGAGCAAGUAGUCCUAGGUUGUAUAUCUAUAUAUUUAAAAAAAUCAGGCUGAGCAAGCCACGGGGAGCAAGCCAGCAAACAGUACCCCUCCUUCAGUUCCUGCUUCCAGAUUCCUCUCCUGCCUGAGAUCUUGCCUUGGCUUCCCUCAAUGAUGGAUUAUGAUGAAGAA